rnacentral:rRNA from 1 species
CCCUUAGAUGUUCUGGGCCGCACGCGUGCUACACUGGUACAAUCACUAAGUUUCUGAGUAGUUAUGCUUGGGCAAUCUUGAAAACUGUACCGUGACGGGGCUUGACUGUUGAAAUUUUCUGUCACUAACGAGGAAUUCCUAGUAAAUGUGGGUCAUGAACUCACGUUGAUUACGUCCCUGCCCUUUGUACACACCGCCCGUCGCUCCUACCGAUUGAAUGCUCAGGUGAGCCAUUCGGACUUUCAUCAUGCUGGUUUCCAGUUUUGAUGAAGGAAAGUCUUGCGAACCUUAUCAUUUAGAGGAAGGAGAAGUCGUAACA